AGACAGGAACAAGCCAGAAGCACACUGAAACCUAUCCAAAAGCAUCCCAGGAGGGCACACUGAGUGCCGCAUGGAGCCUGCACCACCAUGGGGAGGAAGCAGCCACCGCCUUCCUGAAUCCCCACCAGGCAGAAACAUCUCUCCCGUCUUUGAACUUCACCACGCCGUGCAUCUUCCUCUGGGUGUGCAAUCGUCACCUGCGUACAUGAUUGAUUCUGCCCCCAACACUAGACUGCAGAAAGAACUCAAAGCUCAGAUGGUCAGGGUCCUGUUGGUUCAUCAAGCUCAGCCUGCCUGGAGGCAGCCACUGUGUUGUUCCCUCUCUUCGUCCUCCCUCUGCACUCUCUCUUGCCACGGGACAUUUGCACAAGCAGUUCCCUCUAACUGGAACACUAAGAAAUAUGGAAGUAAAAGGGGUUGGGAGAAAAGACAGGAGUCACAGGUGACUGUGUGGGAUGAGGAGAGUCGUGAAAACUUUUUUUUUUUUUUUUUGAGAUGGAGUCUCGCUUUGUCACCCAGGCUGGAGUGCCAGUGGUGCCAAUCUCGGCUCACCGCAACUUCCACCUCCCAGGUUCAAGCAGUUCUCCUGCCUCAGCCUCCUGAGUAGCUGGGAUUACAGUUGCCUGCCACCACGCCUGGCUAAUAUUUGUAUUCUUAGUAGAGAAGAGGUUUCACCAUGUUGGCCAGGCUGGUCUCAAACUCCUGACCUCAGGUGAUCCACCUGCCUCAGCCUCCCAAAGUGCUGGGAUUACAGGCAUGAGCCACUGCACCCGGCCGAAAACAUUAAGAGUAGGUGGAUGUUACUUUGGACACCAAAUGAAGAAGUGUGCCGAGCUGAAAGAGAAAAGGAGAAGAAAAUGGACAUGACAUUUACGGGGUUCCUCUUGCAGAGAGAGAACCGUGUAGAAGGUCCACACCCGCCGUAUCCUACUGCACGGUGCUGGAAGGCACAUGGAAGACUAUUGCAGCCCAAUCUUCUCAUGACAAAGACAGGAAAAUGGAGCCCUCUAAGAGAAAGUGACUGAUCCACCCUUAUGCUCUUAAAUGGUAAGCGUCCAGGGAUCAUCCAAGUUAAGAUGGCCCACACGCAGCUGGCAAGGCAGGACCCGAGGCUGAAUGAGACGUACAAUUGGCUCCACGGUACUGGCAGAACCCACAGCUAGUUUUCAAUGCUGAGAACUGUCCAUCCUGGCAGAGGCUCACUGCCCUCUGUGCCCUCCCUGGUUGCCUGGGCAGAUGGUGAGCUCUGGUUGCCAAGGAGCCCGCGUUGGCAGUUCUGAAAUGGGGUGCGUCAGCAGCCUCGCUCCAGCGGCUUCCCACAUCCUUGAGUAACCACCACACAAAGGUGCUGGGCAUGAGACCAAGGGUGCGGCGGAGAUCGAAUUAGUAAUACACACUCGGUGACCCUCCCCAGCCAGGUUUCACUGCGUGCUUAUGACCAACAUUCAUCCCUUCCUUAGCAUCUGUGGUGUCUUUAAGGGCCAAGUAAAAAGGUAAAACUGCAGGGAGUCAGGAGGGGGAAACUGGCCUGGGGUACAGAGUCCCUCACAAUGAAAAUAUAUGUAACUGGCUACUUGUAGGUCAUGAUGCAUUAAGUGAUCCUGUCAAAAGUUGAAAGUGGGCUACAGUGGGACAGGCAAUGCCCAGAGGGAGGCAGAAAGGUGUAAAUAAUCCGAGGUGAAUGUGGGUCUUGUUGGCAUGGUAGAUUUAUGCCCUGCCUUCAUAAUGUACCCUUUCAUCUUGGGAGCCUGGAUUCCAAAAAUCUAGUCUAGACAGGAAUUGAUGGUGCUACCUCUCAGCUUACAUCGUUCAAGGUUUCUCAACACCAAAGACUCCUGAAUAUUGAUGGGAACAACCCACUUAGCCAGGGGAUAUUGCUCAGAACUCAGGAGGCCAAAGGCAUCAUUCUUCCAGGCACGGAGGCCCUGCUCAGAAACAGCCCUACAGAGGCAGAGUCACUCAUUCUGGGGGAUGACGCUGCCUUUUGUCUUCAUCUCCCCAAGUGGGAGACAAGUCCCAUCACGCCUGCCACCUGGCAGUCAGCCUUGCGCCUUCUCUUUCGUCCUUUUCAUGUGUGCUCCGUGCCGGUUUCAGCAGCUUUCAUCAGAGACUGAAACUACCACCACUCCCAUCACCUCCCAGGGCCAUGGGCAGGCCCUGGCUGACAGAUCCAGGCCUAGGAGCCUGGGCAACGAUAAAUAGGUGGUUGGGAGGACCUCUCCGAGCCCCCUUCUCUGCCCAGGCAGGCUUUCUCCUUGGGUGGCCAGAGCCAGGGCCCAGGAUCCCCUGCUGCAAGAACUGAGAGGCUGAGGGGCUUCACUCCUGAGGAAGGUCCUCUCUUCCUAAUCCCCGUGCUUUGGGCCCAGCAAAUUCAGCCUGGGAACUGGGGGCUGCUGUGGAAGAGAGAUGGAGCUAGGGAGCAUUUAUAGUGCAGCACCUGAGGCUGAGCAGUGACAGAGCUGCGGGCCUGAGAAUUACAAAACAGACUUAAACAGAUGAAAUAUUGCCCAGGCAUGGUGGCUCUUGCCUGUAAUCCUAGCACUUUGGGAGGCCGAGGCAGGCGGAUCACUUGAGGUCAGGAGUUUGAGACCAGCCUGGCCAACAUGGUGAAACCCCAUCUCUACUAAAUAUUAGCUGGGUGUGGUGGUGGGCACCUGUAAUCCCAGCUACUUGGGAGGCUGAGGCAGGAGAAUUGCUUGAACCCGGGUGGCAGAGGUUGCAGUGAUCUGAGAUCGUGCCACUGCACUCCAGCCUGGGUGACAGAGCCAGACUCUGUCUAAAAAAAAAAAAACAAAACAAAACAACAACAACAACAAAAACCCAUGAAAUAUUAACUGAUGCAGGGAAAACAGACAAAAACUAUACAUGCUCAAAACAAAACGAAAAAGGGCACAGGGCUCAGAAACCAGUUUGUCGUCUUUGUGAACAGCUGGGAACUCUGACUCAUGCACUGUCCCCUGUUCUCUAUGCCACAGGAAUGAGGCAGCAAGAGGCCAGAUUCUGCCGGAGACAGAGCAGAGAGCCAAACCAUCGCCACUUAUUGGUGCAUGAACCUGGGCAAGGCAGGGGUAUCCCUGAGCCUCAGCUUCCUUGUUUGCAAAAUGGUGACAUGCCUACUUCCAGAGCUGUUGUUAAGGUUAAAUGAUGACGCAGUUUACCAUAUGCCAGGCACAUAGUAGGCACUAAAUAGUUGCAAUUAUUAGCCCUGAGCAAACAUUGCUCAGCCAUUCCCUUGUAAAGCCUAUUCUCAAACCAACUUUCCAUGUGGACGUUCAAUCAUCUUUCUGGAUGACCUCGCCUUACCCAUUGCCUCAGAUUCUGUGUGUGUGUGUGUAUAGAAGAAACAAAGAAAAAAAGUGCUUUUCACAUAGUGAGGACAUUUCCCCAUCCUAUGAGUCUGUGUAUGUGUGUGCAUAUGUAUAUGUAUGUACACACACACACACACACACACACACACACACACACACACUGCCCCGUGGAAUAGGCAGGACGGGGUUGCAUUUCCCCUCUUUUAAAGGUGAGGAUGCUGAGCCUCAGAAAGAUCAAGUGACCUGAACAAAGUCACACAGCCAAUGUGUUUCUCCAAAAGAAAUGACCAGGAGUCAGUGUUUCUUUAUACAAGGGUGUCCAAUCUUUUGGCUUCUCGGCCACACUGGAAGAAGAAGAAUUGUCUUGGGCCACACAUAAAGUACACUAGCACUAAUGAUAGCUGAUGAGCUAAAAAAAUAAAAAUAAAAAUCACACACAAAAAA